UACGUAGGGUGCAAGCGUUGUCCGGAAUUAUUGGGCGUAAAGAGCUCGUAGGCGGUUUGUUGCGUCGGCUGUGAAAUCCCGAGGCUCAACCUCGGUCUGCAGUCGAUACGAGCAAACUAGAGUGUUGCAGGGGAGACUGGAAUUCCUGGUGUAGCGGUGAAAUGCGCAGAUAUCAGGAGGAACACCGGUGGCGAAGGCGGGGUCUCUGGGCAACAACUGACGUGAGGAGCGAAAGUGUGGGGAGCGAACAGG
rnacentral:rRNA from 1 species